rnacentral:tRNA from 1 species
UUUGUAUGUGGACUGUAAAUCCACUUCUGUCAUAUAUUGACCACUGCUAUCCAGGA